GUUGAAGAACGUAGCGAAAUGCGAUACUUGGUGUGAAUUGCAGAAUCCCGUGAACCAUCGAGUCUUUGAACGCAAGUUGCGCCCGAAGCCAUUAGGCCGAGGGCACGCCUGCCUGGGUGUCACACGUCGUUGCCCCCCCAUCUACUCCUUCGGGAUUGCGGGGGGCGGAUGAUGGCCUCCCGUGCGCCUCGUCGCGCGGUUGGCAUAAAUGCCAAGUCCUCGGCGACGCACGCCACGACAAUCGGUGGUUGCGAAACCUCGGUUGCCCGUCGUGUGCGGUCGUCGCGCAUCGAGGGCUCGAAAAAAUUGCCGGGCUCCGGCUCGGCUUUCAACGCGACCCCAGGUCAGGCGGGGUUACCCGCUGAAUUUAAGCAUAUCAAUAAGCGGAGGA
rnacentral:misc_RNA from 1 species